AUUUGAUUUGAAUAAAAAAAUAAAACAGGGUAUUAAAACUUAAUAAUGCUGUUUUUCUGUUUAUUGUGGUCUCCUGGAAAUAGCUGAAAGGGGAAGGAAUAGCUGCGGUUUAUUGCUUUCAUAUUAUUCUAUUCAAACAAUUUCAGAGGAUAUAACUUCACAUGUGGUUUACCAUUGAUCUUUACCAUAAAUCAGAAGAAUAUUGAAAAUUGUGAAAAAAGGUAACGAAAAUGUGCAGACAGAGAAUCAGUUCAAACUGUGAGUUAAUGCAGCCUCCUCAGUCUGUCAGAAGAACUGUAAAUUCUAUACAGAAGAUUUGCACCCAAAUGAAAUGGAUUUUGGCUAUGCUCCUGCCCUAGAUGGGUACUGUGAAGGUCUCAGAUCCUGAAACAAAGUUACAGAAGAACUGGUGUACUCUUGCUGACUGAAUUCAUAGUGAAGUAGAAAAGAGCAAGGAGCAGAGAGGGCUGAAUACACUGUCCUGCCAUCUCCCAUGGAACUGCAGCACUGCCACCCAUUUCCAGAGACUGAAGAGAGUGUUCUCCUGUGGGAAAAAUGCUUUCUUCUCUACUGGAAGAUCAAAUCCUCAGUGGAUCAAGUCCUGGACAAAAAUUAUGAUGGUAUAAAUUGCCUGCAAUCCUGCAAUUAUUGUUAAACAUAUAUUAUCUUACAUAUGCAUACUACAUAUUUAUUUCUUGCCUGUAUAGACAGUGAGAAUUAAGAAAAAAUAAAUCAAUCCUCAAAACUCACUACAGCAUAUGAAUACAUCUGUAGCAAUUUAUUUUGCUCUGAGUAACAUAUGAAUGCUUCCUUAGAGUAGCCAUAUCAUCCUAAUGACUCUUCUGAGGUUUGUGAAUUAUGCUAACAAUGAUCUUUUCUACAAGUAAACAUAAAAUUCACUAAUAUGUUAACAUUGUGGUUAAUAUAGAGAAGGGAUUUCCAAUACAUAUGGGUUUUAAUUUACUCCUUUUUUUCUGCCACUUUAUUGUCCCUUCCUUUGGAUUAAGCAGCACAAACAUUUGGUAAUUAUUUUUCUCACUGCAGUAUAUGUUUGUGGUGCCAGCUUUUAGUUUUAGUCCAGGUUUCUUCAUACAGACAAUGUUUCUGAAAAUGUUAUUCUUACAAGUUAAUAAAAAAGGUAUUACCUUAAUUAUAGGUAGUUUCUUCUGUGAAAUCAAGAUGAAAGAAAAAUAUUUGAGAAGGUGACAGCUUUUGUAUUUUGUGUUUCCUCGGUCAGAGCUCCUGCUGCUGCACAGCUCUCAAUGUAAACGGUUUGCUUGAAAAAUAGAGGUGUUGUUUUUCUUGGUACUUUAUUUCAUUUGGAAUUGAUCAUACCUCUGCUUUCAAAUUUACCAAGAUUAAAAGUACAUCUGAAUUAAUGUCAGUUUUAGAUAUCUAUUAUAAUGUCAGUAGCUUGAAAUCUAUUAUAUUAAUCUCACAUAUAUCUAGUAAAGUAGCAACAUGAGUCUAGGAAUAGGGAUUUUUGGAGAUCUGACACUAUUUUCUUCUUUUCUAUAACUUUCUGCCUGAUAAUAAACAAACUUCUACUGGUUCACAUUCUCUGAAAUAUCUAAGUGCCAAAUUGUCAUUGAAAUCAGUUAGUCAUAUAUAUCUGAGAAUAUUUAAAAGAUAUCAGCCCCAGUCUCCUAUCUGUAAGACAAGUUAUUCAGACAGGAGAUAUCUUUAGAUAUCUUAACCUUACUGUCCUUGCAGAACUGAAGGCCAACAGUGUCCUGGGCCACAUAGGUAGAAGGCCUACCAGCUGCUCAAGGGAUGUCAUCCUUCUCCUGCAAUAAGCACUGCUGAGACAAAUUUGAAGUGCUGUCUUUGUAAGAGAGAAAUGGACAUUCUGGAUCUAGUCCAUCAAAGGGUCACAGAUACAAUCAAGGAAUGGGAGUGUCUUUUAUAUGAGAGGCUGACAGAGCUCAGGAUGACUGUUGUGCCAGAGGAGAAUGCCCCAAGGGGGCAAUAUCAAUAUAUGUAUAUAUUCCUGUUUGGAUGGUGUAAAUAUGAGCUAGACUUUCCUCAGUAGUAGCCAAGGAAAGGGCAAGAGGUAACAACCACAAACUGUAGGUACAAAAAUGCUGUUAGCGAGGAUUUUCU